rnacentral:rRNA from 2 species
UUUUAUGGAGAGUUUGAUCCUGGCUCAGGAUGAACGCUGGCGGCGUGCCUAAUACAUGCAAGUCGAGCGAACGGACGAGAAGCUUGCUUCUCUGAUGUUAGCGGCGGACGGGUGAGUAACACGUGGAUAACCUACCUAUAAGACUGGGAUAACUUCGGGAAACCGGAGCUAAUACCGGAUAAUAUUUUGAACCGCAUGGUUCAAAAGUGAAAGACGGUCUUGCUGUCACUUAUAGAUGGAUCCGCGCUGCAUUAGCUAGUUGGUAAGGUAACGGCUUACCAAGGCAACGAUGCAUAGCCGACCUGAGAGGGUGAUCGGCCACACUGGAACUGAGACACGGUCCAGACUCCUACGGGAGGCAGCAGUAGGGA